rnacentral:rRNA from 1 species
UACGUAGGGUGCGAGCGUUGUCCGGAAUUAUUGGGCGUAAAGAGCUCGUAGGCGGUUUGUCACGUCUGCUGUGAAAGCUGAAGGCUUAACCUUUCAGUGUGCAGUGGGUACGGGCAGGCUGGAGUGCAGUAGGGGAGACUGGAAUUCCUGGUGUAGCGGUGAAAUGCGCAGAUAUCAGGAGGAACACCGAUGGCGAAGGCAGGUCUCUGGGCUGUUACUGACGCUGAGGAGCGAAAGCAUGGGGAGGCGAACA